rnacentral:lncRNA from 1 species
GCUAGACUUAUGGAGGUGAUUAAUAAAUGGGAGCUUUCGAGGCCCCAGAAAUUAGAGCCACACUGCCAGUUAGAUCGCUGCCGGCCUAAGCACAUGGUUGGAACUUAAAUUUGUUGUUCAUGGUGAUUAAUAAAAUACUUAUUGUAUAUCUAGACAUAAUAUAUAUUUAGGUACAUAGCAAAAAAUUAUAUAUUUAGAAAAGUUAAAACGACCUACAUUUUUAAAAUGGAUGGCAUCCUUACUCCCG